GGUGCGAUGGCUCAGUGGUAGAGCAGUGGCCUCGUAACCGGGAGGUCCUUGGUUCAAAACCAAGUCGAUGCG
rnacentral:tRNA from 1 species